UCAUAGUUACACCCACUGCGACCACAGCCACCCACUCACAGUGUGGUCUUUUCUCCUGUGGUCUUCUUCAAGGGUCACAGGGACCACUGCAGAACAAGAGUAGUGAACCCAGGGAAAUGUUCAUGUUCUAUCCCCUCAUCAUGCCUGGUUGCUAGCCCUCUAUUGCCCAGGGUGUGGUGGGGCAGGUAAAAUACUCUAAAGGAAAUUAGACAUCUCAGAGGACCAUGCUUUGAGAGUGGAGAUGUGGGAGAGUGAGAAAGAGCAGUGCUUGCCAUGAGUCAUCUCCAGUUCUUGUUGGUAAAGGUAAUUCUAAGAUUCUAAUUCUAAGACUCUCUAAGGAAGACUAGAACUCAGGGGAUGCAGCCUCUGUUGAUGGUAGUGUCCGUGUAUAUCUAGCCUUGGGUUUUGUGGACAAAGACAUGAAGGCCAGCUGCCCUCCUUAGAACCUGAGUUUUUGUUUUGUUUUGAGAUGGAGUUUCACUCUUGUUGCCCGGGCUGCAGUGGAAUGGCAUGAUCUCAGCUCACCGCAACUUCUACCUUCCAGGUUCAAGCAAUUAUCCUGUCCCAGCCUCCCAAGUAGCUGGGAUUACAGGCAUGUUCCACUAUACCCAGCUAAUUUUGUAUUUUUAGUAGAGAUGGGGUUUCUCCAUGUUGGUCAGGAUGGUCUCGAACUCCCAGCCUCAGGUGAUCCACUCACCUCGGCCUCUCAAAGAGCUGGGAUAACAGGUGUGAGCCACCACGCCCAACUUUACCUGAGUUUUUGGAGUUCAUCCUCCUCUCCAAGUGACGGGCCUGCUGUGGAGGAUUCUGGAGUCCAGGUUCUCAGCAAUCUUCAGCUGACAUCACCUUUAUUGAAAAGGAACUGUCAGGGACACUGUUCUGUGGAUCAGGGAGGGAAAGCUCUGAUCUACCCUCUGGAGCCUAAGAGGAUGCAGAGAAACUGGCAACAGCUUCCUCCUCUGCCAUCUCUUCUCCCUCAAUGACCCGCCAAGCAUUCAUGAAAGAGAAGAGCAUGAAGCAGUCUGGUGAGCCGAGAGCUGAAUGUGGAGCUCACCCUGGAGUCAGGACAGGCAAGCUAAAAGGCUGAAGCACCACCUGGGCGGCCUAGGCCUGCGGUGAGAGGGUGGUAGGGUGAGGGACAGUUGAGGCUGGUUCACCUCCCAGGAGGUGUCCUGCAGGCAGGGCAACAUGGUGGCUCCUGCAGAAGUGGGCUUCUGUGCCACCAUUCUCCAUUCUUGGUCUCUACAUGGCAUUCUGAAUCUCCCCUUCCCCUUCCAGAGUCUAGCAAAACAGUUCUCAGGAAAUCAACAAUUUCCAACCUACUCAAAAUGUAAGCCAACCUGUUACCUCUCCCAGGGUUAUUUGCACUGUAAGCCUUAGCCCCAGUUACUAAAUAAAAGCCAUUUCUACUUCUAAAGGAAUGACA
rnacentral:lncRNA from 13 species